AGACAAUAGAUACCCUGGUAGUCCACGCCGUAAACGAUGGAUGCUAGCUGUUAUCAGUAUCGACCCUGGUAGUAGCGAAGCUAACGCGUUAAGCAUCCCGCCUGGGGAGUACGGUCGCAAGAUUAAAACUCAAAGGAAUUGACGGGGACCCGCACAAGCGGUGGAGCGUGUUGUUUAAUUCGACGCUAAGCGAAGAACCUUACCAAGGUUUGACAUCUCGGGAAAGUCUCCGAAAGGAGACCGUGCCUUCGGGAACCCGAUGACAGGUGUUGCAUGGCCGUCGUCAGCUCGUGUCGUGAGAUGUUUGGUUAAGUCCCAUCAACGAGCGCAACCCUUGUAGUCUGUUGUAUUUCUCAGGCUAGACUGCCCCGGUAACGGGGAGGAAGGAGGGAUGAUGUCAGGUCAGUAUUACCCUUACACCUUGGGCCACAAACACGCUACAAUGGCCGGUACAAAGGGCUGCCAAGCAGCAAUGCGGAGCAAAUCCCAUCAAAGCCGGUCUCAGUUCGGAUUGUAGGCUGAAACUCGCCUGCAUGAAG
rnacentral:rRNA from 1 species